UUGAGUGGAGGCAUUUUCAUUGCACAGUCGAGAACGGAGUAAAAACGAAGUAAUAUCCGAAUGAAACCGAGUAAAAACGAAGGAUAGUUGGAGUGUACGCGCAACCACACUCCGAGGGCACUCCGAGGGCCCUCGGAGUGAAAUAUGGAAAAAAAUUCAAGAUGGCUGCGUUAUUAGAACCAAUUGUUGUGGAAUUUCUUGAUUUAAUUGAUGAAGUAUUUCUAGAAAAUGAAGAAAGAAACGUUGCCAGGGAUCCACGUCGGUAUUUGAGGGAUUUUGAAAAUCCACGAGAGUGGUUUAGUGACGUGCAGUUCAAACGACGAUAUCGUUUUACCAAGGAUGUUGUUCGGCAUCACAUUCUGCCUUUGCUAGUGUUUGAAGAACCACGGAGUCGUCGAGGAUUACCGCUACCGCCUGUCCUGCAGUUGCUAAUUGCCUUGCGAUUUUACGCAACAGGCAGUUUCCAGAUAGGCAGUAGAAAUCAUAGUUACUAACCAAUACCUUUUGUUUACAAUAAUACCAUCUCUCACUCUUUGCCUAGGUUAGCCUAUUUUGCACUUCAGUAUGUGGUGUUUAAUUUGUGAUUUGCAUAGGCACAUAUCGGUGCAAUGUGAAAUACUAUUUACAGAUGGUGACAGACGGUAGCGAGUCCACAGUUUCCCGAAUGAUCAGACGUAUCUCUGUCGGUUUAGCGCAACAUGCACGAAAUCUGAUACGGUUUCCCACUGGCGAUGAAUUUCGAUUGAACAAGCUACGAUUUUAACACUUUCCCGGUGAUACAGGAGUGUCUGCACCCACAUUAAAAUCAAAAGCCCCGGCGGUGCUCGGGGAGAAGUAUACAGGCCAACAAUGAUGUGCCAAUCCCACCAGUUCCUCUGCGACCUGGGCGCGCCAUGGCCAUCAGGAACGAGUUCAUCAUCCGGCAUUUCAAUUAGCUGUUUUGAAAUGAUUUUUACACACAUUGUUUCAUUUCCUGUUGCUGCCGCCUGUCGUGGCUCCACUCAAGUGCUCGGUGCUGCCCCUCAGCGGCAACAUGCAGUUGCUGUGUGUGCAGAGCAGUGUCAUCAUCCUCGGUGGGCAUGGCCAGGAACAUUCAUACAUUCAGGAAUUACAUCAUAUUGAAGAUAGUUUAUUAUUUAAUGAUUUUGCAUGUUAUUUAGACACACAUUUCAGGGAAA